rnacentral:misc_RNA from 1 species
AACGCACAUUGCGCCCGCCAGUAUUCUGGCGGGCAUGCCUGUUCGAGCGUCAUUUCAACCCUCGAGCCCCUCGCGGGCUUGGCGUUGGGGCGCGGCGCGGCACGUCCCCUGGGGCGGCCGGCCGGCCCUGAAAUGUAGUGGCGGUCUCGCCGCAGCCUUCCCCUGCGUAGUAGCACACCUCGCACCGGAGCGCGGCGCGGCCACGCCGUUAAGCAGAAAUUUUCAAUUUCUUCUCAAGGUUGACCUCGGAUCAGGUAGGAAUACCCGCUGAACUUAA